rnacentral:rRNA from 1 species
GACGAACGCUGGCGGCGUGCUUAACACAUGCAAGUCGAACGGAAAGGCCCUGCUUUUGUGGGGUGCUCGAUUGGCGAACGGGUGAGUAACACGUGAGUAACCUGCCCUUGACUGUGGGAGAACUUCAGGAAACUGGGGCUAAUACCGGAGAUGAUCUCCUGCUGCAUGGUGGGGGUUGGAAAGUUUCGGCGGUUGGGGAUGGACUCGCGGCUUAUCAGCUAGUUUGUGGGGUAGUUGCUUACCAAGGUUUUGACGGGUAGCCGGCAUGAGAGGGUGACCGGGCACCAUGGGACUGCGAGAGGCACCAGAAGGCUACCGUCGGCAGCAGUCGGGAAUAUUGCACAAUGGGCGCGAGCCUGAUGUGAAAACGCUCGGUGCGGGAAGACGGCUUACGGGUGAAGAACAGAUGUGGAAUGUGACAUAGAGUGAGUGACGGUACCGAAUAAGAAAGCACCGGCUAACUACGUG